rfam:Oryza sativa (indica cultivar-group) chromosome 4, whole genome shotgun sequence.
UAUAAGUGCAAUUGUGAGUUUUCGUGUCCAACGUGUGACAUUCCGUCUUAUUUGAUAAAUAUUUAUGAUUAGUAUUUUUAUUGUUAUUAUAUGAUAAAACAUGAAUAGUGUUUUGUGUGACUAAUUUUUUUUUAAUUUUUUUAUAAAUUUUUCAAAUAAGACGGACAGUCAUACGUUGGACACGAAAACCACAAUUGCACUUAUA